ensembl:lncRNA
CAUUGUUCAGGGCUGAACACAAACACAUUGUUUGGGCACUUGAAUGACAUCAACUUUUCCUUGUUUUCUACCUUCAACUUUGUUUCUCUCAGACGAUUUGCAACUUGUGCUAAAACAUUUUUAGAACAGACCAAUUUCUUCAUCUGAUGAAGACAGUUCUCAAACUUGAAUGCACUACAGUUGUCAAGACUGGAAAUUUUCUGGGAAUCUUCUGCAAGGUGCAGCAAGGAAUGGACAUUGUAAACUAAAAAUGUCCCCCAUAUAGCUCCCGUCCUCUCAAUGUUUUACCUUAACUCAUCUGCAGAGCUUUAUCACUGGGAUUCAUCAUCGUCCCUGGCGGCUGGAGUUUACUAAACCUGUGUAGCAGUGGGAACUGCUAGUCAUCCAAGCUAAGAGCAAUUUUCCCUCGUUUGAGUUUAGGAGACUCUGCUGUCAACCACCAUUAUGUCGUGUCUGAACACCAACGACUGCAGCGUUUACAGCCUACAGAUGAUUAAAGCAGCUUACACACAAGACACAAUCAAA